CUACCUAUUUCCUAAUCUGAAAUGAUUAUGCUCUGAUUAACUUUGAACUAAUAUUUUAUUUUUACCAUUUAAAAGUCUGUUAAUUACUUAACCUGGCCCAUGUAUGACUUUACAUAUCUGUGUAUUGGUUUCAUGUUCCUCUAGAAGGUCCAACUUGACACACAACUUGAAUCCAACCAGACUGAACACUGACUCCAGGGACAGACGAGCCUGAAGGACACAGCUGUGAUGACCAUGUUCUGUCUCUUAUGGCAAAGCAGAAAUAUAAAACACUGGGUUCUUAUCUAAAGUGUAUCAAAUCAGAUCUCCACCAUGUUGCUGCUGAGGACAUCAGUUGUCUUCCAGUUGACCAGCAUGAAGCUGCAGAUCUCCACCAUGUUGCUGCUGGGGACAUCAGGAGCUGCAUUAAUGAGGAGCAGAAGCGUACUGUUAUGAAUGUUUUGUGUUGUUUAUGAAGCACUACUUAUUUCAGCUAGAACCGAUGUACUAGGGUCUGGGUUUGUAUCCUAAUGGUUAAAUGCACAUACUUUAAAUCGCUUUUGAUAAAACGUGACAAAGAAAUACAACAUUGUACACAUAGAUAAAAUGUCUUUCUACCUCAUCUGUAAUAUUCAAGGUGAUGAUCUCCCACAGAGCUGUUGAUAACAGUCCACAUCAAGUCUCUCCACUUCCCUCAGUGUGAAAACAUAAUUA